AAUGUAGUCCGCAUGGCGCCCAGCGGGAAGGCGGUGCCUUGCGGCGGAGGCCGGGAGCACGUGGGUUGGGGAUCAGCCGAGCCCAGGAAGCCUUAGGCCUAUUGCGGCCAAGUUCGACCGGCGAGAGGCGCUGCGGACAGCUUCCUAAGAGGACAUCUCUCUGGCCCAGACUGUCCUGACUGCCAGACCCAGCCGCUGCCAGCCUCCUUGCCUUCUGAAACUGUCACGGGCACGUCAAGUUGAACAGACUCAUCGCACUCCUUAAGUUUGCAAGGCACCGAGCUGAGGCUUUCAAGGUCCGACCCGGCUCUAGCGGCCCCAGCCCCUCCGCUAGACCCACCGCUUCCCCUCCGCUGCCGCCUGGGGCUUGGAGGACAGACACACCUGCAAACACCGCUGCUCAGCCCGGCACAGCGAGGGCAGCGUGGUAGGAGGGGGUGCCAGAGGCUGAAGAAGAGGAGGGUCCCGGAGGAGGAAGGUUUGCACGGAGGUUUGAGGAAGACUGUGCCUCUUAACUUCUUCCAAGCCUUAGAGAUGGAGGCUUUCCAACCACAGUCCCAUUCCUUCAACCCCUCCUUGCCCAGCGGCUUCUCCGGGCCCUUAGGCCCUUGGCACCCCAAGGUCAAGCGAUUGCCAGGAAGCUGUGAUGACUAAGUCUCUCAAAGAAUGAAACAGGACUGAAUGAAUAAAGGAAUGAUGAAAGCCAGCAGCUUCAUCACAGUCUGGACACAGCUGACUGCUCUGUUGCAUCCGACGGCAUCCGGCUCAUCCUAGGAUGUUCACGGCCACUGUUUACUGGCGUGAAGAACUUACAGCUUUUGUCUGGUCCUUGUCUGAUCCAAGCAGCCUCCUCCAACCUGCCAGGUCUUUUCAGUUUGAAACUUGGGCAAGAUCCCCUAUAUUCCUCUUCUCUGAACACCCCCUUCAACUUUCUGUGCUAACCACGAACCUGGCUGCCCCUAAGGACAGCGUCCCCUAGACACGCUUUUCUCCCCCCGCAUCCACACCCCACGGUGCUUGGAGGUGGCGGAGUCUUCCCCAUUCGUUGCUGCAUCUGCUCAACUGUCCCUGUGACUUCCCUCGAACCUCUGGCCCCUUUGGCUCCUGGAAUUAUUCUCAACUGUCAGCAAGCUGCCCCUCUUUGGUGCAGACCCCUGGGUGAUUCACCCUUAUUCCUUACAGAUCUAUUUUUUUAAAUUUACUUAUUU